GGGCCCGUAGCUCAGCUUGGUAGAGCGCCCGGCUCAUAACCGGGUGGUCAUGGGAUCGAAGCCCAUCGGGCCCA
rnacentral:tRNA from 1 species